rnacentral:lncRNA from 1 species
UUCCUGACUUGGAGAAGGAGAUUUCUUUCUGUGUCCUCACAUGGUAGAGAGAAAGAGAGAGAGAGAGCAACCUCGAUGGUAUCUCAUCUUAUUAGGGCACCAGUUUCAUCAAGAGGGCAUCAUCUUCAUGGCCUCAUCUAAACCUAAUUAACUCCAAAAGGCCCCAUGUCCCAACACCAUCACAUUGGGGGCUUAGGACUACAACAUAUGAAUUUUGUGGAGUCACAAACAUUGUCUGCAACACUGGAUAAGAACAAGAGAUGAGCAUUAGACAAGAAAUUUUCUUCUUUAGAUCGUAAAAGUACACACUCUUUGUUUUACAAAGAAAGCAUAAGAAGUAAAACUUGGUUGAAAUUUAUAUGUGGGUUUCUUUGGAGAAAAUCCUAUUUACUUUCAAAAAAGUGUCUGAUCUCAGACAAAUUAAACCUUCCUGUGGGCUGACCUUCUGUCAGGUCCUGUUGUGUGUGAUAAGACAGACGAGCUCAAAGAAAAAGCAUUAGACUUUUAUCCUGAGUGAUUUUGUUGCACUUUCCCAGAAUUCAUGCACAGAGAGCCUACAUAAUGAAUAAAUAUCAAUACAUUGGUCGAUAUUUAUGAAAUGCUGCUGGAUACCCAGUCCUAUUCUGGUUGCUCAUGGUUGUGGUGGUGUUGUGGGUGGGAAUCAAGAUAGAUUCACUGGCCUUGAACAGUUUACAGGUUGAUGGAGGAAAGCAUUUGUUGCUCUAGCUCUCACCCAUGUAUAUGUCUAUGAUUUGUUUUGCCGGCUUUAUACAGAAUCCUCAGGUUCCCCCUCAUUUAAUGUGCAAAAUGAAGAUUCUGACAACUAAAAACAAAUUGUUUAGGUGGAUGCAUUCUCAAGAAGAGAAGAAUAAAAAUAAUAUCAAUGUUUUUGCUUCGUAGUAUCCCCCUUCAUAUAUUAUAUGCAGCAUACAUAAUUUUUCAUGGGAAACUAGAUGAAAGAAUUAGGAUUAGAGGGUUUAUGACUUCUUUCAUUUCUUUAUCAUCAGACUCUGAAAGAAACUAAUACCUAUUUACGUGAAGAAAAUGUACAAUUUCUUUAGCUGUCACGGAAAUGUGGUUUAAAAAUAUCUAGUGUGCUCUGCAAAAGCCUUGGCUGAGCUGUGAGAGCAGUCACUUGCCUGUCAGAUGUCUAAUUAUUUCUCCCUCCUCCUCAACCACGCCAGUAGCAGGGAACCACUGAGACCAUAUUGUUGCCCAUAUGUCGGAAAGCUACUAAAUUAAACCCCUGUGUAACAUGCUGACAAGUCUAAUGCAGUAGUUGGAGAUUUGUCUACAGGAUAUCAGAAUUCUAAGAAAAACUUGGAAAUCAUGUUCAGGACUAUACAGGACUUUAAAAGCUUUAUCUUCCCAAACUGAAAACCAGACCUCUCAAGUCUAGCUGCUCUCCUCCAGGUGCUGCAUAAAUGGACCUGGUCUUUGGCUACCUUACUUUGGAUCACUUGGUUGAAACAGUUCCCUUAGUCAACUUGUCCACUGGACUUAAGCUGUGGGACACAGAAAUUUUCCCUGGAAGAACAGAACAAUGAAGAUGAAUAGUUGAAAAAUGAGAGAAUCCUGCAUUCUAAAGGAUCUAGUCUGGAUGCCAGGAGCUGUGUAUAGGAUGAGAGCCUGGUGGACCUGAUUGACCGCCUGUUGUUCAGUUCAGUUCAGAGACUGAAAAUCAGGAUUUGUGCUGGAGAGUCUUUGAACUGUGUGUGAAAGUAUCUGAAGGUCCAUGACAAUUUGAAAGAAGGCAUAUGAAAAAGGUGCAGGAAUCGAAGGCACGAGAUACACCUGAAAGUGGUGGAGCAAUGAAUCUGAACAGGAUGAUGGAUUGAAAGUGCUCAAAAGAGGCAGCUAGGAUCCUGUAUUCAUGUCCUACCACUGCAGCCAGGGAAAGAUCCUCCCACAUCUAUCAGAAGACUGGAGGAUUAUGUCUGGAGAGAUUGAAUUCUAGGGAUGCUCAGGCCCAAAUGAAGGUUUGAGCACACAAUGAAAUGAGUUGAUAUUGACUGUUGGGAACCAGAGUUCUCAGUGGAUGAAGAGACACAGAAAAAUAAAAUGAAGGAAGGCAAAGAAGAUCUCUGAAGAGAUGGAUUGGAAUUGGAAGCAUUAGUAUGAACCAUGAUUCUAAAAUAGUUAUAUAUUGAUGUCUAUGCUUGUAUAUAUCCAGAAGUUUAUGUAUGUAUGUUUAAAUGUGUGUGUAAUAUAUAUGUAUACAUAUAUGUACACAUGUAUAUAUUUCCUAGCUUUGUCUACUGAAAGGGUCCACAAGCAAAAUCUUGUAGCGGAUCUUGGUCUCUAAGAUUGUUCCCUGUUAAAAAAAAAACAGGAUCCGUUGGAGAAAUUGCUGAUUCCAGUGCUGUAGCAGAAAAGGUAAUACAUGAUCCUAAAAUCAGUAGUCUCAUUCUGUUAGAUUACUGUGGGGUUCAGUAUGGUAGCCACUAGUCUCUUGUGCUAUUUAUUUAUUUAUUUUUAUUAUUAUGCUUUAAGU